UAAGGAGGGGGAUUGAGGGGGCCCUCACCUUCCCCUCCUUUC
rnacentral:miRNA from 1 species